UGGGGUCCGCAAUAAUUCAUGUCAAAGCCUAUAAGAGCAAGGGAAAAUGACAAUGUAAAGAUCAAAGAGUUCCUGAAUAUGAAAUGGUCCCAAUCUUCCUGAGACUGACAAGAAAAAGAAAGAGCAGGUAAAAAAUUGGCAUAGAGGGAGUACAAAGUGUUUAACUUACUUUUGUUGGACAUACCUAAUCAAACUAAGACCUAAUUGGAUGAGAGUUCUAGCCUUGUCGUCAAAGCAAAUUUUUGGAAUGCACAUUGUUGUACAUGAAAGUUUAUAAUUGUUCUGAUUUCUUUAAACGUUUACUGUUCCUGUUGAAAUUGGUAUACAUUUACUUCCCUGUCUAGCUGUUUCUGAAUUUAAAUUGUGAUGCAUCUUAUUCUUGAAUUUGACCCAACUUUUACACUGAUGCAGAGAUAAAACAUGGAUACAAUGUGCAGCUUACUGAAGACGACGUGUAAUUUUUCACCUAUUAACCCUGUUCUGGGAUAUUUAGCAUCCAUUAGCUUGAGAAUCUAAGUGUCUCUCUUGCUGUGUCUACUCUGCGCAAAGGCCAGAGGUGUUCAUUGUUGUUUUUGCGUGUCGCAUUGCUGAAUAAUCUCUCCCUCUCCCUCUCCUUCACUCUUUUACAUAUAGUUCAAAUAGAGCUAGAGGAAAAGAAAAGGAUUGUUAAUGUGUUUAUUUUUCAAGUUUUCCUUUUUGCUUUGGUUUGUUUCCAAGUCAUUCUUUGAGAAAUCAGCAAAAGUGAAAAAUGAUUUCUGUACAUAAACUCUUUGGGAUCUCUUUG
rnacentral:lncRNA from 1 species